rnacentral:rRNA from 1 species
UAAUUUAAUAUAGGAUCUGCUCAAUGAUUUAUUAAAUAGCUGCAGUAUUUUGACUGUGCAAAGGUAGCAUAAUAAUUAGUCUUUUAAUUGAGGACUUGAAUGAAAGAUUUGAUGAGAAAUAAACUUUAUUAUUUAUAUAAUUAAAAUUUUAUUUUUAAGUAAAAAAGCUUAAAUUAUUUAAAGGGACGAUAAGACCCUAUAAAACUUUAUAGAUAUUAAUUUUAGUUUUUUUGGUUAUAUAAAUAUAUUAAUUUUAUUAUUUAUUUUAUUGGGGUGAUAAAAAAAAUUAUAAAACUUUUUUUAAAAUUUAACAUUAGUUAAUGAAUUUUUGAAUUAAAAUUUUUAAUUAAAGGAAAAAGUUACUUUAGGGAUAACAGCGUAAUUAAUUUUUUAAGUUCAAAUUUGAAAAUUAGUUUGCGACCUCGAUGUUGAAUUAAGAUUAAUCUUAGGUGCAAAAUUUUAAGUAUUAGGUCUGUU